GGUGCUGUGGCUUAGUUUGGUUAAAGCGCCUGUCUAGUAAACAGGAGAUCCUGGGUUCAAAUCCCCAGCAGUGCCU